GUAAGCUAGGCCAGUUUGUCAGCAAGCCCCAGGAAUCCACCUGUCUCUUUCUCCCCACUGCUGAGGUUACAGGCUUGUAGCUCCACAUCUGGCUUUUUCACAUGGUGUCAAACUUGGUUUUGAUGCCUUAAAGGCAACCAUGUUCCCAAAUGACCUGCCUCCUGGCCCCAGAUGUGUUUGAAAUUCCUUUUCCGAGAGCCACUAGAAACUGCUCACUUAAUAGUAAAACAGGCAGUUCGCUGAAUCCAGAGUUACAGUUCCAUAUUUCUGGGGCUGGAUACUGGCUUAGCAGUGAGAACACCUACAUGGGGACACACAAAUGUCUGUAACUGCAGUUCUAGGUGGGAUGCCCUCUUCGGGCCUCCACUGACACCAGACAUGCACGUGGUGUACGUUCGUACAUGCCAGCAAAGCACUCAUCCGAUUUUCUGAAUUGUCUUUUCCAGAUUUUAUUGUGCAGUUUCUGGAGCAGCAAGUUUGUACUCUGAACUGGGAUGUUGGUUUUGUUAUACAGACCAUGAAUGACAUUGGAGUGCCUCUACCUAGACUACUAGAAGUUUACGAUCAGCUCUUCAAGUCACGGGAUCCAUUCUGGAACAGAGUGAAAAGGCCACUGCACCUUUUGGAUUGUAUCCAUGUAUUACUAACAAGAUAUGUUGAGAAUCCAAGCCAAGUUUUAAAUUGUGAGAGGAGAAGAUUUACAAACCUCUGCCUGGAUGCUGUCUGUGGUUACCUGGUUGAACUCCAGUCAAUGAGUUCUUCGGGAGCAGUACAAGCCAUCACUGGGAAUUUUAAAUCUCUCCAAGCAAAGUUGGAGCGGCUUCAUUAAUUACUGUAGUAUAUUUUUCUUUCUUGCAUUUUGGUCUGUAAAAUAAAAACUCAGCUGGGUCCAGAAAUCAGGUGUUGUAUAUCUAAGAAUUUUGGUAGAAAUUUGUUUUUUAAUAAGUGAUUGUUAGCUACAAAUAGUACAUUUGCCAAAUGAAUUUUUUUUAAUGACUAGUUUUUUGUUUUGUUUUGUUUUGUUGAUUAGUUGGAUCCAGGUAUGUAGCUCAGUGGUGGAAUGUUUGUGCAGUAUGUAAAAUGCCCUGGAUUCAAUUUCCAGCACUAUACACCAACACAUCAAUUUGCAAAAAACUGAAAUAAGAUUAUGUAUGAUUCUGACACACAAAGAUAAAGUUCUUAUUUUAAAUUUUACUGCUAGCAACAAUUUUGAAUUUGUACUAUUUAUUUCCAGGUUUAUCUAUUAUCAGUGAUUAAACCAGCUCUUGGGAAGGCAAUGGCAGACAGAUUUCUAGAACUCACAGAGAGUUCCAGGCCAGUCAAGGCUAUAUAGUAAAACCUUGUCUCAACAAACAAACAAAAAAACCAAAACGCCUUAUCGGCUGGGUCUGUUCCCAUACCGUUGGAUUCUGUAGCAGUCCUUAAGUGCACAUUUUUUAAGUUAAAUUUUAGAAAAUUUCCUGAACUACUAAUUGUAUCAGUUGCAACCCUUUAGGUUCUCUCUUUCUCUCUCUCUUCCAUCACCAUAAAUAUGUACGUUAGAUUUUUUAUGUAUACAUUUUUAUAUAUGUAUGUAUGUAUAUAUGUGCUGGAUGUGUAUGUAUUUAUAUACAGAAUAGUUGAACAUGUAAUAAACUUGUAACACUGUUAUGAGUAUUUAAAACCUACAUGAUCAGCCAUCUGUGGUGGUGCAUACCUUUAAUCACAGCACUUGAAAGGCAGAGGCAGAGGGAGCUCUGGAGGUCAAGGCUAGCCUGGUCUACAUAUUGAGUCACAGGUCAGCCACAGCUGUACCGUGACUACUGUUUCCUUAGAACUCUUACUCUCGAAGUGAGUACGCUUCAAGCCAGCAACAGCAGCAGCAUCCUGGAUUUGUUACCAAUUAAAUUUCUGGGUCUCAGAUCAGAUCUACUUUGGCAUAACUGCCUAUCUAUGUGUUUUAACAGCCCUUUGGAUGGAUCCAGAUUCAUGUCACAUCAGGAACAACCCACUUGUAGGUCCUGCUGUUUUCUGUGUCUUGUGGAUUGAGUUCCCUCUCUGAUUUGAUUUGAUUUCUCCAGCCCCCUUUCUUACCAAUGACCACAACACAAGUUUUACCCAAAUUAUAGUGGAUGAAGCAGAAUUGUUAGUAAUCUAGUUUUGGGUUUGUUUUUUUUAAAAAUAUUUGUUAUGUAUAAAAGCCAGAAGAGGGCACCAGAUCUCAUUACAGAUGGUUGUGAGCCACCAUGUGGUUGCUGGGAAUCAAACUCAGGACCUCUGGAAGAGCAGUCAGUACUCUUAACCUCUGAGCCAUCUCUCAGCCCUAGUAAUCUAGUUUUUAACUUCUUUUUUCAAUAGUGCCAAGUUGAAUCCAGGGUCUUCGUCCUAAGCAAGAUACUUUGUAUCUCCAUGUUUCCCCUUUCCUUCACUAGAGGAAAGAGAGCAGUGAUUCAGUCCUAGCAAAGAAAUGAAGAACUAAAGCCCCAAGUCUGAGGUUUUGAAAGAGAUUAGUGUUUUCUUGAGUGUUCUCUAUCUAUAUCUUAAUUAAUAAUAAAACUUUUCAAAAUA